rnacentral:piRNA from 1 species
UAGUGGUUUCUGCAGCUUGUAGCACACACU